AACGCCCGCCCCGCCCUACGCCUCACCGCGAAGUACCCCAGCCCCAGAACUGUGACCAGAGAGGGCAAGGGUCUGGCUGGACGGAAAUAGGCGGUAGCCGCAUUGCUAGCCUCCGACUUCGCCAUCCUCUUGAAAAACCCAGACACAGAGUUAGCCGGGAGCUCUCCAGCCGUCCCCGCCUCCAUAUAAGAAAAGCCUGACUAGCCGGUUUCUCAGGGCGCUGGGCGCCGGCCCAAGACCCUAGCGGACCGGUAUGCCUGCGUCUCAUUACGGAGUCUAGUCCCUUCCCCUCCGCUCCGAGCGCGCGGGAGGAGGGAUUGUGCUUGCACGACUUCCCCCGGCUCCCAGCCUGUGGGCCUAGGUCCUGGGGUGAACCGAGCGCUCGCUCCCUCGCCAGACCAUAGCCGUCCAGCGGCUGCCCUUACUGUGUAGUAGCCAAAGCUGAGGGUGAUGACUGUGAACCAGAACGGACUUCCUCGCUGAAAAGUCAUUUGGAACUCUUCUGUGGCACCUGAAGCAGAUAGAUGAAGCCAGGGGUGCUGAGAGUAUCUCAGAACCUGGAGAUGGACAAGGCUGGUUAGAACAUUUAGAACAAAGAUUUCGCAGGUGGUGAGAGUCUCAAAGGCGAAGCUGAAUGAUUUGAUAUUUCAUGAAAUUCAGAAAUAAUUUGGAGCUUUUCAAACCCGAGAUAUGGAAAAGUGACACUCCUGUUCUCUGGGAAGGAUCUCCCAUUGACAGUCAUAAUGAAGUAAGAACAAGAAGACGGGGAAGAGGAAGUGUAAAACCAUGGCAUAAAUUUACCAAGGAUAAGCUGAGUGUACUUCAGCAGUCAUUUGCACAGAAUCCUUAUCCUAAUUUUACAACCAGGGAAAAACUGGCUGGACAAUCUCUUGUCCCGUGUUUGUAGUUGAUAACUGGUUUCAAAAUAAAAGAGCCAGACUACGACCUAGAGAGAGACACAGAAUGUUCGCUGCCGGGAAACUGCAUGAUUCCUUUGCCAAAGGCCACCCAUUUACAAGAAUCCAGGGAAACCAGGUGGAAUCUCCCAAAGAUGACCCUGAGCAGAACUUCUUGUACCCAGGAAGUUCUACUGGGUGGAACUGGCCACUCUUCCGUGGAGACACAGGGGAUUCCCAAUUAACAUGAUGGCUCAAAUAAUUCUGUAGCCUUAUGAAUUAAAAGGAAACUAAGCUGUGAUUUGCAGUAUCCAGGUGACACAGAAAAUGGCCCUUCUAGAUGUAGAUCAGCGUUAUUUCCUCAUCCUUCUGCGUCUCCUCCUCAGUAUUCUGACAGGGAUAAGCCUGAGAUGGGGGAAAGCCAGCAUGCAA